GCUCGAAAAUGUUAAAGUUCUUAUUUCAUGGUAUAACUUUGGUAUGCUUGGACCUAGAGUCUUGAAACUUGACAUGAAGGUUGGCCAUAACUAGUUAGUAACCACUGGUCAUUUCAAGGUCAUUCAUUUGAAGGUCAAGGUCACUGUGACCUUGAAUGUAAAAAUGUUAAAGUUCUUAUUUCAUGGUAUAACUUUGGUAUGCUUGGACCUAGAGUCUUCAAACUUGACAUGAAGGUUGGCCAGGAUUAACAGAUGACCACUGGUCAUUUCAAGGUCAUUCAUUUGAAGGUGAAGGUCACUGUGACCUUCAAUAUAAAAAUGUUAAAGUUGUUAUAACUUUGGUAUGCUUGGACCUAGAGUCUUGAAACUUGACAUGAAGGUUGGCCAGAACUAGUAAGUAACCACUGGACAUUUCAAGGUCAUUCAUUUGAAGGUCAAGGUCACUGUGACCUUGAAUGUAAAAAUGUUAAAGUUGUUAUAACUUUGGUAUGCUUGGACCUAGAGUCUUGAAACUUGACAUGAAGGUUGGCCAGAACUAGUAAGUAACCACUGGACAUUUCAAGGUCAUUCAUUUGAAGGUCAAGGUCACUGUGACCUUGAAUGUAAAAAUGUUAAAGUUCUUAUUUCAUGUUAUAACUUUGGUAUGCUUGUACCUAGAGUCUUCAAACUUGAAAUAAAGAUUGGCCAGUACUAGAAGAUGACCACUGGUCAUUUCAAUGUCAUUCAUUUGAAGGUCAAGGUCACUGUGACCUUAAAUGUUAAAAUGUUAAAAUUGUUAUAACUUUGGUAUGCUUGGACAUAGAGUCUUCAAACUUGACAUGAAGGUUUGCAAGCACACUUAGAUGACCACUGGUCAUUUCAAGGUCAUUCAUUCUAAGGUCAAGGUCACUGUGACCUUGAAUGUAAAAAUGUUAAAGUUCUUAUAACUUUGGUAGGUAAAAAUGUUAAAGUUCUUAUUCCAUGUUAUAACUUUGGUAUGCUUGUACCUAGAGUCUUCAAACUUGACAUAAAGGUUGGCCAGUACUAGAAGAUCACCACUGCUCAUUUCAAUGUCAUUCAUUUGAAGGUCAAGGUCACUGUGACCUUCAAUGUUAAAAUGUUAAAAUUGUUAUAACUUUGGUAUGCUUGGACCUAGAAUCUCAAACUUGACGUAAAGGUUUGCAAGCACACUUAGAUGACCACUGGUCAUUUCAAGGUCAUUCAUUUCAAUGUCAUUCAUUUGAAGGUCAAGGUCACUGUGAACUUAAAUGUUAAAAUGUUAAAAUUGUUGUAACUUUGGUACUUUCCUGUCAUUUAAAUCAAAAAUCCGGCUUCAAUGCGGUCAUCUCCGACCGCGGAACUCUUGUGUUAAUGUUAUGUGGCAAUGUUAUUGAUAUGUGAUUAAGGCAUUUAAAAGGAUCAUUGGCUGGGGUGGAGAUUAGUCUAAAUUAGAGCUAUACAUGUGUUGGUCUGUUUCUGUACUCUAGUAUCACUAUAUUAGUUUUGCCUCUUAUGGUCUGUUAAACACUUACAAAGUCAAUAAAAAUUGAGUGAUGUUUUCUUUUUUUAUGCCCCCGGAUCGAAAGAUCUUUAACCUUCGAUAAAAUUUGGUCAUAACUUAGCGAAUAUUGAAGAUAGCAACUUGAUAUUUGGCAUGCAUGUGUAUCUCAUGAAGCUGCACAUUUUGAGUGGUGAAAGGUCAAGGUCAUCCAUUACGGUCAAAGGUCAAAAAAUACAAUCCAAGGGAAGUAAUAAGCUUUAAAAUGGAGAUAAUUUGUAAACCUGCCAAAUGAUACAUUGAAAUUUUAUUUCAAAGCGGCGCAAUAGGGGGCAUUGUGUUUCUGACAAACACAUCUCUUGUUUCAGUUAUGUUUUGUGUUGUUUGAUCAUGUUUUGUAAAAAGUAAUGUUGAAUGUAUUAAGCUCCAUGUUCAGGUUUCAUUGUUCAUUUGUAUAAUAAAAUGUUAAUAUCUCUGAAUUAGACAUCUGUACAUUAUUUUGAUUCAUUAUCAUAUCCUGUGAUAUAUUAUUUUCACCAUGCAAGACAAAUGAAUAUAAUGUGCUUGUAUAAUAUGUUAAAUAUAAAAUUAGAAAAUGAG